CCUACGGGGUGCAGCAGUGGGGAAUAUUGCACAAUGGGGGAAACCCUGAUGCAGCGACGCCGCGUGAGCGAUGAAGUAUUUCGGUACGUAAAGCUCUAUCAGCAGGGAAGAAAAUGACGGUACCUGACUAAGAAGCCCCGGCUAACUACGUGCCAGCAGCCGCGGUAAUACGUAGGGGGCAAGCGUUAUCCGGAUUUACUGGGUGUAAAGGGAGCGGAGACGGUCCUGCAAGCCAGAUGUGAAAGCCCGGGGCUCAACCCCGGGACUGCAUUUGGAACUGUGAGGCUGGAGUGUAGGAGAGGCAGGCGGAAUUCCUGGUGUAGCGGUGAAAUGCGUAGAUAUUAGGAGGAACACCAGUGGCGAAGGCGGCCUGCUGGACGGUAACUGACGUUGAGGCUCGAAAGCGUGGGGAGCAAACAGGAUUAGAUACCCGGGUAGUC
rnacentral:rRNA from 1 species